ACACGCUGGCGGCGUGCUUAAUACAUGCAAGUCAACUGAACUUUAGGUAGCAAUAUUUAAAGGGAGGUGGCGCACGGGUGAGUAACACGUAGGUAAUCUGCCUUCAGGACUGACAUAACUCCGCGAAAGCGGGACUAAAAUCAGAUGAUGCAGCGGCUCGACAUCGAGACAGUUGUUAAACCUUCGGGGCCUGAAGAUGAGCCUGCGUCUGAUUAGGUAGUUGGAGGGGUAAUGGCCCACCAAGCCUGCGAUCAGUAGCUGGUCUGAGAGGAUGAUCAGCCACACUGGAACUGAGACACGGUCCAGACUCCUACGGGAGGCAGCAGUAAGGAAUAUUGCUCAAUGGCCGAAAGGCUGAAGCAGCAACGCCGCGUGGAGGAUGAAAUACUUUAGUAUGUAAACUCCUGUAAGAGGGGAAAAAUAUACAGUUCUGCUGUAUUGAUUGUACCCUCAGAGUAAGCACCGGCUAACUACGUG
rnacentral:rRNA from 1 species